GCGACAGGCUUAACACAUGCAAGUCGAGGGGCAGCACAGGUAGCAAUACCGGGUGGCGACCGGCGCACGGGUGAGUAACGCGUAUGCAACUUACCUAUCAGAGGGGGAUAACCCGGCGAAAGUCGGACUAAUACCGCAUGAAGCAGGGGCCCCGCAUGGGGAUAUUUGCUAAAGAUUCAUCGCUGAUAGAUAGGCAUGCGUUCCAUUAGGCAGUUGGCGGGGUAACGGCCCACCAAACCGACGAUGGAUAGGGGUUCUGAGAGGAAGGUCCCCUACAUUGGUACUGAGACACGGACCAAACUCCUACGGGAGGCAGCAGUGAGGAAUAUUGGUCAAUGGCCGAGAGGCUGAACCAGCCAAGUCGCGUGAGGGAUGAAGGUUCUAUGGAUCGUAAACCUCUUUUAUAAGGGAAUAAAGUGCGGGACGUGUCCCGUUUUGUAUGUACCUUAUGAAUAAGGAUCGGCUAACUCCGUGCCAGCAGCCGCGGUAAUACGGAGGAUCCGAGCGUUAUCCGGAUUUAUUGGGUUUAAAGGGUGCGUAGGCGGCCUUUUAAGUCAGCGGUGAAAGUCUGUGGCUCAACCAUAGAAUUGCCGUUGAAACUGGGGGGCUUGAGUAUGUUUGAGGCAGGCGGAAUGCGUGGUGUAGCGGUGAAAUGCAUAGAUAUCACGCAGAACCCCGAUUGCGAAGGCAGCCUGCCAAGCCAUGACUGACGCUGAUGCACGAAAGCGUGGGGAUCAAACAGGAUUAGAUACCCUGGUAGUCCACGCAGUAAACGAUGAUCACUAGCUGUUUGCGAUACACAGUAAGCGGCACAGCGAAAGCGUUAAGUGAUCCACCUGGGGAGUACGCCGGCAACGGUGAAACUCAAAGGAAUUGACGGGGGCCCGCACAAGCGGAGGAACAUGUGGUUUAAUUCGAUGAUACGCGAGGAACCUUACCCGGGUUUGAACGCAUUCGGACCGAGGUGGAGACACCUUUUCUAGCAAUAGCCGUUUGCGAGGUGCUGCAUGGUUGUCGUCAGCUCGUGCCGUGAGGUGUCGGCUUAAGUGCCAUAACGAGCGCAACCCUUGCCACUAGUUACUAACAGGUAAAGCUGAGGACUCUGGUGGGACUGCCAGCGUAAGCUGCGAGGAAGGCGGGGAUGACGUCAAAUCAGCACGGCCCUUACAUCCGGGGCGACACACGUGUUACAAUGGCGUGGACAAAGGGAGGCCACCUGGCGACAGGGAGCGAAUCCCCAAACCACGUCUCAGUUCGGAUCGGAGUCUGCAACCCGACUCCGUGAAGCUGGAUUCGCUAGUAAUCGCGCAUCAGCCAUGGCGCGGUGAAUACGUUCCCGGGCCUUGUACACACCGCCCGUCAAGCCAUGGGAGCCGGGGGUACCUGAAGUCCGUAACCGCGAGGAUCGGCCUAGGGUAAAACUGGUGACUGGGGCUAAGUCAUAACA
rnacentral:rRNA from 1 species